AGAGAGGUGGAGGGACAGGGCCCUAUGAAACCCGGCAACCAGCGUAUAGCGGGUGCCAAUUCCCACAAGUACAUAAUGUACUUGUAAGAUGAGG
rnacentral:ncRNA from 1 species